UGGCAAGGAGUUCAACCAGCUUUCCUUUCCUAGGUCCUGCGAGCCUUUUAGCUCUGUGCUAAGAUGACUGUGUGUUCGAUGCCAAGACACUGUGAACCCGAGAAAAGAGACACUUUAAUAUCUCUGAAAUCAGGAUGUGUUUUACCAUCAGUGGCAUCCUAGAUGAAAUGAACAAGAAGACUUUUCGUCAUCACCAUGGAGAAUACUUUGAAAAUAUAAAACAGAUGUAUAUGUUUUUAAUACAUCAUUUGGGACCUGAACCAUUGAAGAAAUCAUAAAGAGAUUUGUCGUGAGGGACAACGGGAGUAUACCACACAUUUACAGGACAGAAAAAGGUAAGAA
rnacentral:lncRNA from 1 species